rnacentral:rRNA from 1 species
CCUACGGGAGGCAGCAGUGGGGGAUAUUGCACAAUGGGGGGAACCCUGAUCCAGCGACGCCGCGUGGGUGAAGGAGCGUUUCGGCACGUAAAGCCCUAUCAGCAGGGAAGAAAAUGACGGUACCUGACUAAGAAGCCCCGGCUAACUACGUGCCAGCAGCCGCGGUAAUACGUAGGGGGCAAGCGUUAUCCGGAUUUACUGGGUGUAAAGGGGGCGCAGACGGCAGUGCAAGACUGGAGUGAAAGGCCGGGGCCCAACCCCGGGACUGCACUUGAAACUGUGAGGCUGGAGUGCAGGAGGGGUAAGCGGAAUUCCUGGUGUAGCGGUGAAAUGCGUAGAUAUUAGGAGGAACACCGGCGGCGAAGGCGGCUUGCUGGACUGUGACUGACGUUGAGGCUCGAAGGCGUGGGGAGCAAACAGGAUUAGAUACCCGAGUAGUC